GAUGAACGCUGGCGGCGUGCCUAAUACAUGCAAGUCGAGCGAACGGACGAGAAGCUUGCUUCUCUGAUGUUAGCGGCGGACGGGUGAGUAACACGUGGAUAACCUACCUAUAAGACUGGGAUAACUUCGGGAAACCGGAGCUAAUACCGGAUGAUAUUUUGAACCGCAUGGUUCAAAAGUGAAAGACGGUCUUGCUGUCACUUAUAGAUGGAUCCGCGCUGCAUUAGCUAGUUGGUAAGGUAACGGCUUACCAAGGCAACGAUGCAUAGCCGACCUGAGAGGGUGAUCGGCCACACGGGAACUGAGACACGGUCCAGACUCCUACGGGAGGCAGCAGUAGGGAAUCUUCUGCAAUGGGCGAAAGCCUGACGGAGCAACGCCGCGUGAGUGAUGAAGGUCUUCGGAUCGUAAAACUCUGUUAUUAGGGAAGAACAUAUGUGUAAGUAACUGUGCACAUCUUGACGGUACCUAAUCAGAAAGCCACGGCUAACUACGUG
rnacentral:rRNA from 1 species